AUGCACGCUGGUGGCGUGCCUAAUACAUGCAAGUCGAGCGAACAGACGAGGAGCUUGCUCCUCUGACGUUAGCGGCGGACGUGUGAGUAACACGUGGAUAACCUACCUAUAAGACUGGGAUAACUUCGGGAAACCGGAGCUAAUACCGGAUAAUAUAUUGAACCGCAUGGUUCAAUAGUGAAAGACGGUUUUGCUGUCACUUAUAGAUGGAUCCGCGCCGCAUUAGCUAGUUGGUAAGGUAACAGCUUACCAAGGCAACGAUGCGUAGCCGACCUGAGAGGGUGAUCGGCCACACUGGAACUGAGACACGGUCCAGACUCCUACGGGAGGCAGCAGUAGGGAAUCUUCCGCAAUGGGCGAAAGCCUGACGGAGCAACGCCGCGUGAGUGAUGAAGGUCUUCGGAUCGUAAAACUCUGUUAUUAGGGAAGAACAAAUGUGUAAGUAACUAUGCACGUCUUGACGGUACCUAAUCAGAAAGCCACGGCUAGCUACGUG
rnacentral:rRNA from 1 species